GCCCGGCCCCGCGCCGGCCCCGCUGCUGCCCGUUAUGGCGGCGGCUCCGCUCCGCUCAGCGGCCCGGCCGGGCACCGGUGUUAGGACUCAGCAGCAGUUGUUCUGCAGAGCUGGCAGCACGUGGCUUGGACAGCACUGGGCCAUUAUUCCUGGACGCCUGCUGUUCUGGGAUAGAGAAUCACAGAAUUGCAGAAUCAUUUGAGUUGGAAUGGACUGCUAAGAUCAUCUGGACCAACUGCCCUGCAGUGAACAGGGACACCUACAGCUCCAUCAGGUGCUCAGAGCUCCUUCCAGCCUGACCUGUGUGCAGUGAUGGGGAUCCACCGCCUCUUUGGGCAGUCUGUGCCACUGCCUCACCACUCUUACUGUAAAAAACUUCUUUUAAAAACCCACUGGCUUGGGUUAGUACAGUUAAGGUAGAUUGUUUAAAUACGGUGCAGCAAUAGCCUCCAGGUUCUCAUGCAACUCCACUGAUGCUUCUUAAUAUUUCCACUACAGCUGUACUGGAAUUUUUGAUACCCACAUAUAGUGAGUCUAAAGUUCCAAGUGUACAAAUUACUUCUUUGAAUUAAUCCAUUUGAAAGAAAGCAUCUUCCCUUAAUUUGCCGAAAAACUUAGCUGUUUUGAAGCACCUGAAAUGCUUAGUGCUAAGUUCUGCUAUGUAACUCUUAAAUCCUUCCUCUCCUGCCCUGCAGGAUGUCAUGAGAGCACCUGCUUUGUGAGCUAGGAUCACCUGUUUCGCAUACACUGUCUCAGCUGUCAAAAUGACGACAAGUAAAUCCUCCUGCUGAGGUUCAUAAGAAAAGCAUCGCGUUUCAGGCAUGGAAGAGCUUUUUGAUUUACAUCAGGUUUUUAAUUAUUGCAACAUUUAAAAAAGAUGGAGAUGAUAAGCGAACAAAAUCAGUCUGUCCAGAAGGUAUGGGAAAAUAAAAAAAUACUCUGCUUUGGGUGUUGUAUACUCUGUGCAUUUAAGCAAUAGCAUAACUGAGUCUCUGCAAAUAAAUAAAUAUAUUAAUUAAUUAAAGUUUGGUGGUUUGUUGGGUGUUUUAUUUAUUUCUUUAUUUGUUUAAUCUAAUGAAAAACACUGUUGCUGACCUGUGAUAUCUUUAUACUGUCAAUUGCACAUGACAGCACUGGAUGGAUAAUCACAAAUUCAAAUCACAGUGUACAGUAGCAAAGAAUGCAUCCAAAGAUUUCAAAUCAUAAAAAUAAAUUGUUCCAAAGGCUUAAAUAAUACUGCUACUUUUCUUUGAGUAAAUAUAAUGGUGCUUUAAUUGUACUAUUUGCAAAAAUGUUUUGUGGUACCUUGUGCCUUUCUAAUAUCUGACUGUAUUCAUAUAUUGCCUGAGCAAUUGUAAGCAAUGUCUUCCAACAGUUCACUGUUCUGUUCUUGCACUGAUUCCAGUAUCCCCAUUAGCAUGAGUGGCAGUUGCAGAGGUUUAUCAUGUUUGUGUCACUGUGCAUGUUCUUUCUGGCUAUGCCAUCUCUAUUCUAGGGCUCUAUGUGAUCUUCUGAGUUGCACAAAAACCCUCUGAGGUCACCAGGAUUUAAGGGUAGGAGUUAACAAGCUCUCAAGUAUUCCUGAAUUGAGAAAGACUGAUACAGGGAGAUCAUUUUCUGAGGCAAGCAAACUUAUUCUGGUGGACAAGAGGACUGCACACCUGGAUGUUUUUCUUUGUAUAUGCCAGCACAUGUGUUUCAUAUGGCCAAAAUGGCAAUUAUCCCUGUCACAGAAUGAGACUUUGCAUGUGUGAUGAGAUGAUCCCACUGCCUGUACUGUGUACUGUGGGUGACAGAUGUUGUGUUUUGGUUGCAUCAGAGAGUACUUUUGGUCACUUAAUGAGGAAGGACUGUGAUUUGUUUCGGUGGGUCAGAACACAGAUACUUCAUCCCCAGUUUGUGCUCUGAUGGAGUAUGCUGAGAAUAUACCAUUUGUCAUUUAAAUGAGCUCAUUUGAAUGUGCAAUGAAGCAUGAUUCGUGUUUCCUUACACAAUUUUGUUAGCCUUUUCAGUUUUUGUAUCUAUCUGUUGUUUUUCCUUUUCAGUGUAUCCACCAUUAGUCAUGAGGAUGAAGGGCUGUGAUUCUUGUCUAAUAGGAAGAAAAACCAGAAGAAAAAUAAACUUGUUUCAAUGCCAGGAGCAUUUUUGUUUUGAGCAAAACCAAACCAAACAAUAAUGUGACAUGUAACAAGAACAGUAUUUCAUACUACAUAGCAUAAAAUGAAUUGUAAUUAUGUUACAUGUAUCCACUGGGCUCUUACUCUUCUGAAAUGUAGCACUGUUCCAUGCAAACAGCUGACACUUAAACCUGCACAUCAGUGGAUUUAAAGCUACGGCUGUAAAUCUUUGGACCACCAAAGCAUAAAGUGAUUAAUUUGGCCAUAAUUGUAAUCUGUGUGUUGAAAAAUUGUCAAAUGAAACAUAAUCAUAAGUGGAAUCAUUUCUGUCUUUUAAACAACCUUUACUUAGCAAUGAAUCGCACUUCUUUCUAAACCUUGGUUCAAUUGCUCCAAGUAAAAUUUAGAAGUUGUUGAUUUCAAGUCUGUGUAGCAGAGGAGAAAGGGAUAAAUUCCACAGCUGAAGGUGGACAAAGGUAGCAUUGCUUUGGCAGCAGAAAGUAAUUUUUGUUUGGCCAAAAAGAAUGCUUGCAUUUGCGCAGACAUUUGGAUUAUUGGAAGCAGCCCUAACAGAAGUGAAUGAAUGGACAACAUGCAGGUGAGGUUUGAAUGCAUAUCAAAUGGCUCUGAAAUGCGUAAAAUGAUUGGCCUCCGAUAGGAUGCAGUCCCACAUUGCAUCCAGUCAGCUUUCCAUAGUGAUGAGUCAUUUGGACCCAUGUGUGUAAAAUUAAGAUUUGAGUAUUUACCAUGAUAUCACCACAACAGUUCAGAGCAAUCCAGUGUUUUAAACUG